ensembl:lncRNA
GCAAUCAAAAGUAAAUCCUGAUCACAAAAUGGUAGAGGAGUUCUGCAGGGUCUUGUACAUGACCUGCUGUGUAGAUAUGUGGCAUUAGAAAUGUCACAUAAGAGUAAGGAACCUUCCUUGUCCUGUUUUCAGGUCAGAGAUAUAACACACAUUUACCUACUGAACAUUUGGUUUUCUCAUUUCUCUAGUUGUUCCAUUACUUGCUGUAAUGAUUAUUGGACAAGCUGGAAUACUUCACUUUGAAGUUGAUUGCAAGAAUUUUGAAGAUAGAUCUCGUUACAUGAGGCAGCUGGUGGAGGCUGUAUGUCAGAAUUGAAAGCCCCUCUAGGUUCAGCUAUUACCCUGAGGUUUGGAACAAUCCCAAAUGCUGCACAGCUCUGCCUAUGGAUCAGCACAGGAGCACAGCAUUGACACUUGGGCUGCAAACCUACUGUAGUACAGCAUUCUGAGCUUUUCUUCUGGCAGUCUUUGCCAUAAGCUCUUUAAGUAGCAGAGCCCAGAAUCUAAAGAAAGUUUAACAUUGGUACAGUUAAACAUUUCUGUCUGGUUUACAGUAAAGUUACUGAAGAGUUCCCAACUUCACUUUCAGUGAAGACACAGUUUUUGUGUUUGUACUUUUUUGGUAAGGAAGUUCCAAUAGUCAGUAAACAGACAAUGGUUUCCAGUUCUCUUCACAGUCACUGGGGAGAUGAUUCACAUAAACUUGGAGAGAGUAUCACAUUGCAGUGGUAGGACACACUGGAUAUGCUGGAUAUGUUUACAUUGUAGUUGUCAGAGUAAGCAGGUUUUCAGCUAAUUUAUUUAUGAUAAAUUGUCCAAGCUCUUUGCAAAUGCAGUGAGUUUCCCAGACCCUGAGACACAGGAUCUAGCGCAAUGCAACAUUUCUGCUGCAGAAUAAACAGAUUGACAACUCAGAGGCAGAGCAAGCAUUAACAAGGGAAGGACACGAAUAAGCAGGAAACCACGGUAUGAAAGCCAGGAUUUCUGAGUGGCAGAACAAUGCUGCACACCUGCCCAGCACAGGCUGUUUCCUGCAUUGUAACAUGUGAGCCACUGCAUAGGCUCAAGGAAACGUGUCUGCACAGCCUCUCCUUGCCUGUUCUUUGCAAACCAUGGAAUCUUCUGAUCUCUAAAGAAGAUGGAAUCUUUUUCCUAAAACAGUGAGUGCUUUCUUGACCUUCCCCAAUAUGAUAAUGAUAAUGAUAGCUUUACUGUGAGGGGCAUGUAACAGGAUCAGGAAAGGGAAAUUGGGGUUGAACAAAAGAAAAUUUGUAUCCCAGUAAAAUGUGUGCUUGUGUGCAGCUGACCAGUCAGACAUGGUUAGACUGGGGACGCAGUUCAUCUGAACACAGACUUCAAGCCUUGCCUGUGUUAUAGGACCUCUGCAGAAGAUGGUGGCAUGUAAAACUUUGAUUUAAUGUUAUCAGUAACAGCCAGACUGUGAGUGGGACAAUUCUGCCACUGUAUCUGCAUUUUCCCAGAUGAAGUAGGCAAUAUUCCCUGUCAGCGUAGCUGUGAUGGCACCAGGGAGCUUUGUGGUACUUUAUUAGCAUCACCUAGGAAAUCUGUGUUCUUUGCAGCUGAAACAGUCUUGUUCCCUUUCACACAAAUCUGAGAGAAGGUGUAGUGACACUGCUUAAUGUGGUCAAAUAGCACUUGACAAGCCUCAUGCUUCUUGCCCCUCACACUAAGGAUUAAUUUAUAACUUCAGAAGCGUUGUCUUCUGUGGCUGCUGAAGACAAAUGAGUGUCCUUUAGACUCUGUGAGUGCAUCAAUAUUUAAUAUGUCUGCUUAAAUUAAACUCCAGUCAAACUACUGAUUCUUUUCCUUGCCUUGUUCCCCCUUCAAUCAUUAAUGGACAUUUUCCACAAGCAAGUUAACAAAACACCUAAGAUGGACUUUGUACAUAUUAGCCUUACCCUUUCAUUCCAGCCUCUCUCCUCCUACGCCGAUUGUGUAAGGACUGCAAAAAUACAAAAGGAUGCUCCCCAGCCUGGACCUGAGUUUAAAGGACAAUAGUUGAUCAAACAUUUAGAAUUUGGUUAUGUUUUGAGAUUUUCCUCCACUGCAGAAUCUGGACCUUCCUUAAAAUCAAACAAGCAAACAAAAAACCCCAAUCCCCCAAACCUGAUGCCUCUUUACACCGGGUGAUAAUCCUUUUGAU